rnacentral:rRNA from 1 species
AUUGAACGCUGGCGGCAGGCCUAACACAUGCAAGUCGAGCGGAUGAAGAGAGCUUGCUCUCUGAUUUAGCGGCGGACGGGUGAGUAAUGCCUAGGAAUCUGCCUGGUAGUGGGGGAUAACGUCCGGAAACGGGCGCUAAUACCGCAUACGUCCUACGGGAGAAAGCAGGGGACCUUCGGGCCUUGCGCUAUCAGAUGAGCCUAGGUCGGAUUAGCUAGUUGGUGAGGUAAUGGCACACCAAGGCUACGAUCCGUAACUGGUCUGAGAGGAUGAUGAGUCACAAUGGAACAGAGACACAGUCCAGACUCGUACGGGAGGCAGCAGUGGGGAAUGUUGGACAAUGUGAGAAAGCCUGAUCCAGCCAUGCCGCGUGUGUGAAGAAGGUCUUCGGAUUGUAAAGCACUUUAAGUUGGGAGGAAGGGCAGUAAGUUAAUACCUUGCUGUUUUGACGUUACCGACAGAAUAAGCACCGGCUAACUUCGUGCCAGCCGCCGCAGUAAAAC